rnacentral:lncRNA from 1 species
CUGAGAACUAUAAACUAUUUUAGGCUAUGGUUUAUUGCAUGAUUGGAUAUGGGGGGACUUUUAAGGGUGAAAAAAGCAUCUGGCACCUUUAAAAAAAGAUCUUUAUGUAGAGAAUAGAGAUGAAAGAACAUUAACAAGGUGUGGUAAUCAGCUGCCAUGAAAGUGGAAAAUAUGCUGUGGAAGGUUUCUGCUUGUCAAUAUCAUGAAAUAUUCAGUAUGCCUGGGAAGAGGGGUAAAGAGUGGACUAAUGGGGCGAUUGAAAAGGGUCAGAUUGAGGAUGAUCAUUACAAAAGACACAACUCUGUUCUACUUUUUCCUUCUAGGGGAAGAUAUUAUUGAAAUGGUGCAGCAUGUAAUUCUUUCCUGUGUAUUUAGACCCAUACAAACAGGCAAAUUGUGUCCUGAACGCUCUGCAUGAUUCACCAAAAAAAGGUUUUUCUCCAUGUAAAGAAUCAUCUUCCAUUAAGCAGGAGAAAGAAACGACUGCAUGCAAAUGAUGUGAACACGUGGCUUAUGAAUAAGCAGAACAACUUUGGGAAAAUCACCUCAGAGCAUGGCAAACAGCAGUAACACAAUCAGAUCAGUACUCUGGAUCUUCCAAGCCCAGAGGAAAAGGAAGAACAGCUCAUGGCUUGUUAUCGGUGAUGAUAAGAUGGACACAGAUGCCAUGAACGUGAAGAUGCACAAGGUGCAAAGAAGUGCUUGUUUCAAACCUUAGCAAGGAGAAGGCCUCUGUGCCAGGACAAGUGUCUGCCAAGGGGCAGCAGACAAAAGGUAGGAUGCUAAUAAUGAUGUGGGUGCUGUACAGCAGGGAUGGCUAACUUAAGAAAGUAAGAAAUAGGUCAUUUUUGACUCAGAUAAUGAAUGACUCCACCACUUCUCUUCAUAUGUAAAUAGAGCAUACCUUCCCCAACUUCUCCUUCAGGAUAUUUUGGAAUAUGCCACCAAAAUGUUACCAGAAAGCAAAAACAAAACUACAAGAGAUCUCACCAACUCUGCCAGGAGAGGAAAUACCAUUGGAGGUAUUUCCUUGGCCUAGUAGAACAGAAAUCAGUUGUUUGUGUGUAGAUGAAAAAUGAGAAUCAGUUACUGGAGUUCAAACCCAAAUUAAAUAGAAAAAGAAAUAUUUUAAGAAGCAACUUACAGUAAGUGGAUUUGAAUUAGCAGCAGAAAUGGACAAUUUUCUUUCCAUCACCUGACCAUAUAGAAUAUCUGCUUGAAUUGAAUUCUCCCUUUAUAUCACGUCUUUCCUUUAUUUCCUGUCAUAGAUGUGUGAUUAAACCAUCACUUUUGAUAUCCCCCCAAAAUGAUGGAAGAAGAUUACACCAUAAAUCAUGAAUCCUUCUUUCCACUUGUUUGUGAGAUGUAGACAGCUUUCAAAUUUCCCCCUAGUGAUUACAGCAAAUUGUAAUAGAGAUAAAAUGUAAAGAGUUUAUAGGUAUUUUUUAGAGGCCAUUAGAUUUAUGAUAUCACUUUACAGUGAUAAUUUUGAUGACAAACGCAGUCAUAUAGGGCUUUUUUGGUUGCUUUUAUUUUCACUUGAGAUGAAGCUGUUAGAUUAAAAUGCCACUUUAACCUUUUUUUUUUUAUUAUUAUUAUUAUUUUAUUUUUGUAACAGAAAUGAAAAUACAGCAUCCCACUGAGCUGGUUGCAUGUCACUCUUGUUAUUAUUUAUUUGCUUUUUUUUGGAGCAGGCUAUCCCUAAAUGUUACCUCUCUUGCUAUCCCCAUAAUCCAAGACCGUAAUAGGUAGAACUGGAGGCUCUUGGUUGCUGACAGAUGUUGAGUUACAGCACUGGAGAUCCAGGACCACGCUCCAUGGCAGAGAGAGGAGAGCACCAAAGAAGAACCAACAGAAGCCAUAAGGAAAUGAUUAGAUGUUGCUGCUGACUCCCUUCUCCCUGGCAGCUAGCAUUGUUACCAAACCCACAUCCAUUUUCUUUUAGCCAUUCAAGUAAAGAUGGGACUAUGUUGUAUUACUGGAUAUGGUGAUGAGGUAUUAAGUGAACUUAGGAUCAUGGUGCAGGGGUCAAGAGAGGUAUCUAUGUGCAUGCACAUAUCCCUGCAGUGAUGCAGGGUGUGAUAUUAAUGCUGGGAAGGGUAGCAGGUAGUUCAGCUAGCCAAAGGAUACAGAAUCAUAGAACGGCUUAGGGUGGAAGGGACCCUUAAGAUCAUCCAGUUCCAAUCCCCUGCUAUAGGAAGGGACACCUCCUUCUAAAGCAGGUUGUUCAUUGCCCCAUCCAUGCAUGAAGGUCCUCCAGUGAAGGGAUACACAAGCCACUCACUGAGUGCUGAUUGCCACAUGGGAGGAAGUUCUUUAGGUCUUAAAUCUGGCUCCUGACUGUCAGCUCUGGGGCUGGAUGCCUUGAAAUGAAACUCAAAGGGAAAUAGGGUGCAUCUAUUUUUAUGUCAGCAGCUUGUACAGGGAAGCCAGUGAUUUGUAGUGAGUACCAUGUGCUAAUGCACUGGAGUUCCUCUCCAAUUAUACAACACUGGUACUUUCUGAUACUUGCAAUAAUCAUUAAAUCUAUAAUCACCACAUUUCCUACAUGUUUGAGAAUCUCUCCCAUGUUAAUACAAUAUAAUUAAACCAGCCCCUAUUUCAACAGUAUCUGCAUUAAAAAAAGAACACCAAAGAGACCGUAAUAGGUGAAGAGAGGUUAAUAAUAGGUCAUGUGGUUAAUCUUCCAGUUACAAGGGCAAACACUAAUUACAGAACUGGGAAGGAAAAGGGCAGCCUGAUUGCAAUGUGAUUAUGGUGACCUUGUUAAGAGUGAUCCAAGCCGUGGUGGGGCCUCAAUAAAUAAAGAUAAUACAUCCCUUAGCA